AGCGAGACUGAUGAGUUGCACGUUUGGUGGCACUAAGUGUCAGGUGAUACAAGUGCCUUCCAGAACCUCCCUGUUGACAAAGCCCGAGUGCACAGGGGCCAUCUGAUUCGCU
rnacentral:snoRNA from 1 species